UCCCCGUUGCCGAGGCAGUCUAAAUAGAAAAAUUCAACUAUUUAUAAGGGUUGCGCUCGUUGAUGGACUUAACCAAACAUCUCACGACACGAGCUGACGACGGCCAUGCAUCACCUGUCACUGCGGCCCGAAGGCACAUCCGCCUUUCGGCGGACUUGGCAGGAUGUCAAGCCUUGGUAAGGUUCUUCGCUUAUCAUCGAAUUAAACAACACGCUCCACCGCUUGUGCGGGUCCCCGUCAAUUCCUUUAUGUUUUAAGCUUGCGCUCGUACUCCACAGGCGGGAUGCUUAACGCGUUAGCUUCGCUACUAAAAGGGUCGAUACUUUUAACAGCUAGCAUCCAUCGUUUACGGCGUGGACUAC
rnacentral:misc_RNA from 1 species